rnacentral:rRNA from 1 species
UACGAAGGGGACUAGCGUUGUUCGGAAUCACUGGGCGUAAAGCGCAAGUAGGUGGUUAAAUAAGUUAGAUGUGAAAUCCUUGAUCUUAAAUUAAGAAUUGCAUUUAAUACUGUUUAACUUGAGAACAGAAGGGGAUAGUAGAAUUCCAAGUGUAGAGGUAAAAUUCGUAGAGAUUUGGAGGAAUACCGGUGGCGAAGGCGUCUAUCUGGUCUGUUUCUGACAAUGAGUUGCGAGAGAGUGGGGAGCAAACAGG